rnacentral:lncRNA from 1 species
GAGGCGGGGUCUAACGGUUGCCUGCUUGAAGUUUGUUUUUGCUCUGCAGGAUUAAACAGUUCUCUGUAUCCUGCUUUGAGCGCUGCUGUUGGGUGCUGUGAGGGGACCUCAAGUAAGCUCCAUUUUUGAAACAUGGAUGCAGUGACUUAUGAUGAUGUGCGUGUGAACUUCACUGAGGAAGAGUGGGAUUUGCUGGAUCCUUCCCAGAAAAGUCUUUAUGAAGAGGUGAUGCUGGAGACCUACCAGAACAUCACUGCUAUAGGCUACAAGUGGGAAGACCAUCAUAUUGAAGAAUAUUGUCAAAGUUCUAGAAGACAUGAAAGGCAUGAAAGAAUUCAUAUUGGAGAGAAACCGUAUGAACGUAACCAAUGUGGUAAAGCCUUUGCAAGUGACAAUCAUCUCCAAAUACAUAAAAGAACAAAUACUGGAGAGAAACCUUAUGAAUGUAAUCAAUGUGGUAAAGCCUUUUCACAAGGGAGUACUCUCCAAUAUCAUAUUAGAAGACAUAAUGGAGAGAAACCCUAUAAAUGUAAUCAGUGUGGUAAAGCCUAUGGACAUCACAGUAGUCUGCAAUAUCAUAAAAGAACACAUACUGGAGAGAAACCUUAUCAAUGUAAUCAAUGUGAUAAAGCAUUUUCACAACACAGUAGUCUUGAAUAUCAUAAAAUAACACAUACUGGAGAGAAACCUUAUGAGUGUGAUCAAUGUGGUAAAGCCUUUGCAUGGCAGUCUAGUCUCAAUAUACAUAAAAGAACACAUUCUGGAGAAAAACCUCAUGAGUGUAAUCAAUGUGGUAAAGCCUUUGUACAUCACAAUAGUCUCCAAUGUCAUAAAAGAACGCAUACUGGAGAGAAACCUUAUCAGUGUGAUCAGUGUGGUAAAGCAUUUACACAUCAAAAUAAUCUACAGUGUCAUAAAAGAACACAUACUGGAGAGAAACCUUAUGAAUGCAAUCAAUGUGGUAAAGCAUUUGCAAGACACAGUCAUCUCCAAGUACAUGAAAGAACACAUUUUAGAAAAACACCUUAGAAUGCAAUCACUGUUGUAAAGACUUUGGAUGUAAGACUAAUCUCCAAAGACAUAAAAGAACAUAUACUGGACAGAAACCUUAUGAAUGUAAUCAAUGUGGUAAAGCCUUUGCAACUCACAGUCAUCUACAAUGACAUAAAAGAACACAGAGGAGAGAAACCUGGUUAUUGUUUACAUAUGGACAUAAGGAGAUACAAGUAUGUAUCAAAUUGACAAGGGAUGGAUUGUGAUUGCUGCUCUUGGUUUUCAAUAUAAGAUCUAAAGUGGAAAGCAUAGGUCCAGGCAUGGUGGUACAUGCCCUUGAACCCUAGGAGAUGAGCAUCAAGCAGAUCUCUGAGUUCAAGUCCAUCCUGAUACAGAGCAAGUUAAAGGUGAAGAAAUUCUUAGGUCUAGGCCUGUGGAUACAGAGCCUUGCAGAUUUCUGAGUUCAAGGUCAAUAUAUAGAGCAAGUUCAAGGACAGCCAAGCUGAGGAAGUAAAGGAGUUGGAGAACAGAAAACUGGUGAUAAUGUAAUAGAAGAGGCCAUUUCCCAGGCCCAGAAAGCAGCAGAACUCAGCAGCUUUGACCAUGUGGCUCUGACUUUAGAGGUAAGAAUAGAAGGGACUACUGGGAAAAUUGAAGCUUGUAAGCUGUGGCUGAGAAAUUAGAAGUGAUGAAGAAGAGACCAGCAUCAUUGAGGUGAAAUCUUCUAGGAACUGUUUUCUGAGAGGACAAAGAAACUGUGUUCCAGAGAGAGCCAGGAUUGUACCUUGUGUUGCAGCUGAACUUUGUAGUCUCCCCUCCCCCAGCCUGAAACCUGCUUGCUCAGGGGUGGAGCUUCCUGCUCAUUCGUUCUGCCACGCCCACUGCUGGAACCUGCAGAGCAACAUGUGUGCUCACCUUUCUACUGGACCAGAGAUUAUUCGGCGGGAAUCGGGUCUCCUCCCCCUUCCUUCAUAACUAGUGUUGCAACAAUAAAAUUUGAGCUUUGAUCAGAAUAACUGUCUUGGCUACAUUUCUUUCUCUCUCGCCACCUAGCCCCUCUUCUCUUCUAGGUUUCCAAAAUGCCUUUCCAGGCUAGAACCCAGGUUGUGGUCUGCUGGCCGGACACAACAGAACUUGGUCACAUGUAAGAAUCAUCCAGGUGGUACUGGUUUUGAAGGCAUGACAGUGUCAUGAGGAGCAACUGAGGCUUGGUCCAGUGAAGGGAGCAUAAGUGAGACUAUCAGUGAAGCCUAGUUGCAGGAGAAGAACCCAACAUAUUGAAGAUGCCAGUCCAAUGGGAUGAGCAGAAAGAACAGCCCAGUAGAGCGGAGUCAACCAGAGCUUAGAGUGAUACAGAGGUCAGAGCUAGAGAAGUGACCUUAUCUCUCUGGAGGACUGCAGAAGAUCAUGUGUGGAUCCAAGACAUUGGAACAAGAAACUGAGGUUUCCUUCGAGACCCCAAGAUCUUUGAGAUGUCAGAGCUGUGGGGUACCUGCUCAGGAAAACCAGCCAAAGAGAAAGAAUUGUGCUGCAGUGAAUACAGCAGAAAGGAGUUGGAGAUCUGAAGAAUGCUUUAACAUCACUCAUGGAGAUGCAGUUUGGAGAUUUCCAAGCUGGCUUUUGGUUUUGUUUUGGUCCACUAUUUCCUCAUGAUGACAUUUAGGAAUGGUAAAGUCUAUGUUUUGAAGUGGUAGUAUAUGAUCUGCUUUUAGAUUUUCUUUUUUAGGGGAUUACAGUUACAUUGAAUGAAUCUCAGAAGAGACUUUGACCUUUGGACUUUUAACAUUUUUGAGACUGGUAUAGAUGAUGGGGACUUUUGCAGUAGGACCUCGUGUAUUUUUCAUUAUGCAUGUUUAAGUAUGGUCCUCAUACAUUCCUGUACUCCAACAUGCUUAUGGGGGCCAGUGAGUGGAAUGUGGGAGUUUGAAUAUGCUUGUGACAGGGAGUGACUCUAUUCAGAGGUGUGACCUUGUUGGAGGAAGUGGAUAUCUCUGGGGGUGGACUCUGAAGCUCCACCAAGUGCAAAACAGACCCUCCUAUUCCCUCCCUGGAAGACAGUUUCUUCCUGGCUGCCUUUGGAUCAAAAUGCAGAACUCUCAGCUCCUUCUCCAGCAUCAUGUCUGCCUGCAUGCUGCUGCUGUGCUUCCUGCUAUGAUGAAAAUGGACUAAACCUCUGAAACUGUAAGCCAGCCCCAAUUAAAGGUUUGCUUUUAUGAGA